rnacentral:rRNA from 1 species
GUUUGAGCAUGGAUCUCAUUGAACGCAUGGAUGGCAUGUCUUUACUCGUGCCAGUCUAACGGCAUCGCGGGAGCUUGCUCCUGGUGGCGAUGUGGCGAACGGUGUGAGUAACGCGUCGGAACGUGCCGAGUAAUGGGGGAUAACGCACCGAAAGUUGUGCUAAUACCGCAUAAUCUCUGAGGAGGAAAGCGGGGGACCUUUAGGGGCCUCGCGUUAUUCGAGCGGCUGACGUCUGAUUAGCUAGUUGGUGGGGUAAAGGCUCACCAAGGCAACGAUCAGUAGCGGGUCUGAGAGGAUGAUCCGUCACACUGGGACUGAGACACGGCCCAGACUCCUACGGGAGGCAGCAGUGGGGAAUUUUGGACAAUGGGGGCAACCCUGAUCCAGCCAUGCCGCGUGUCUGAAGAAGGCCUUCGGGUUGUAAAGGACUUUUGCCGGGGAGCAAAACUUACGGCUGAAUAAGCCGUGGGGACGAGAGUACCUGGAGAAUAAGCACCGGCUAACUACGUGCCAGCAGCCGCGGUAAUACGUAGGGUGCGAGCGUUAAUCGGAAUUACUGGGCGUAAAGCGUGCGCAGGCGGUUAUGCAAGUCUGAUGUGAAAGCCCCGGGCUUAACCUGGGAACGGCAUUGGAGACUGCAAGACUAGAGUGCGUCAGAAGGGGGUAGAAUCCCACGUGUAGCAGUGAAAUGCGUAGAGAUGUGGAGGAAUACCGAUGGCGAAGGCAGCCCCCUGGGAUGACACUGACGCUCAUGCACGAAAGCGUGGGGAGCAAACAG